rnacentral:misc_RNA from 1 species
AUUGAUCUCAUCUCCGUUCAAUGCCUUCAAUUCCGUCGCCACCGCCAAAUCCGGCGUCCGCCGCCAACUGUCGCAUCUCCGUCUUCUCUCUUAUCCUUCAGUUUCCUUGAAAUGCAGAUGCUCAUCUUCCUUUGCUCGUGCCUUUUCAGGUGUAAGAGCUCAGUUGGAAACUACUGAGCGAGCAGUUUAUGUGGAACCUCCCG